AGGACGAACGCUGGCGGCGUGCUUAACACAUGCAAGUCGAGCGGAAAGGCCCUUCGGGGUACUCGAGCGGCGAACGGGUGAGUAACACGUGAGCAACCUGCCCUUGGCUCUGGGAUAGCCUCCGGAAACGGGGAUUAAUACCGGACAUUCACUUUCUCCUGCAUGGGGGGUUGGUGGAAAGUUUUUCGGCCAGGGAGGGGCUCGCGGCCUAUCAGCUUGUUGGCGGGGUAACGGCCCACCAAGGCGACGACGGGUAGCCGGCCUGAGAGGGCGAUCGGCCACACUGGGACUGAGACACGGCCCAGACUCCUACGGGAGGCAGCAGUGGGGAAUAUUGCACAAUGGGCGCAAGCCUGAUGCAGCGACGCCGCGUGGGGGAUGAAGGCCUUCGGGUUGUAAACCCCUUUCACCAGGAGCGAAUUCAGACGGUACCUGGGAAGAAGCGCCGGCUAACUACGCGCCAGCAGCCGC
rnacentral:rRNA from 1 species